rnacentral:rRNA from 1 species
AACUCGCUGUGAAGAUGCAGUGUACCCGCGGCAAGACGGAAAGACCCCGUGAACCUUUACUAUAGCUUGACACUGAACAUUGAGCCUUGAUGUGUAGGAUAGGUGGGAGGCUUUGAAGUGUGGACGCCAGUCUGCAUGGAGCCGACCUUGAAAUACCACCCUUUAAUGUUUGAUGUUCUAACGUUGACCCGUGAUCCGGGUUGCGGACAGUGUCUGGUGGGUAGUUUGACUGGGGCGGUCUCCUCCUAAAGAGUAACGGAGGAGCACGAAGGUUGGCUAAUCCUGGUCGGACAUCAGGAGGUUAGUGCAAUGGCAUAAGCCAGCUUGACUGCGAGCGUGACGGCGCGAGCAGGUGCGAAAGCAGGUCAUAGUGAUCCGGUGGUUCUGAAUGGAAGGGCCAUCGCUCAACGGAUAAAAGGUACUCCGGGGAUAACAGGCUGAUACCGCCCAAGAGUUCAUAUCGACGGCGGUGUUUGGCACCUCGAUGUCGGCUCAUCACAUCCUGGGGCUGAAGUAGGUCCCAAGGGUAUGGCUGUUCGCCAUUUAAAGUGGUACGCGAGCUGGGUUUAGAACGUCGUGAGACAGUUCGGUCCCUAUCUGCCGUGGGCGCUGGAGAACUGAGGGGGGCUGCUCCUAGUACGAGAGGACCGGAGUGGACGCAUCACUGGUGUUCGGGUUGUCAUGCCAAUGGCACUGCCCGGUAGCUAAAUGCGGAAGAGAUAAGUGCUGAAAGCAUCUAAGCACGAAACUUGCCCCGAGAUGAGUUCUCCCUGACUCCUUGAGAGUCCUGAAGGAACGUUGAAGACGACGACGUUGAUAGGCCGGGUGUGUAAGCGCAGCGAUGCGUUGAGCUAACCGGUACUAAUGAACCGUGAGGCUUAACCUU